rnacentral:tRNA from 1 species
GGGGAUUUAGCUCAGCGGCAUAAGCACCUGCCUGGCAAGCAGGAUGUCAUGAGUUCGAUCCCCA